rnacentral:lncRNA from 1 species
UAGGAAACAGGAGGGCAAUUAACAGCUACAUCAAGGCUUGUACCCAGUGUCUUCGUGGAAGGAAAGAUGUCAACCCGGGGCGUGGUUGUACACCGAGACUUCUGUUCACUUUCCUUACUGCUGAAUUAGAGAAAUAAUUUAAUGCAGUCCUUACCAUUUCGAAUCCUACUAAAUUCGGUUUGAUACUUAUAAGGUGGUAGACUUGAGUAAGAUUCAAAUAGACUCAAUUAAAUGGUCCUAUAGAAAGCCAAUUCUAGGGAGUGACCUUACGAGACCAGUGAAGCAGAGAGCCAAUUCUUGUCGGACUGGAGACCCACAGUCCAGAACCAGGGAAUAUUUGUCAGCAGAAGAGGUGAAGAGACCCAUCCAGAGGACAGAGAAAACAGAAAAGGGAUAAGAAAGUUAGCAGAA